AUGUAUUUUAUUAUUAAUUAUUAUAUACAGUUUCUCCUAUUCACAGGACUCCAAGAGCUGGGGCUUUAUGAAAAGCACCACAUAUCAUGCAACACACUAUAGAUUAAUGAGAAGUGGUGGCACUGUCUCCAUAGGCUGGCCAUCUAUAUCAAAGCUACCCUCUAGGGAUCCAUCAUCACCGUUCUGUAAGGAGGCUACUCAAACCACCCCCAUGCUGAGUCUACUGCUAGAAAGGCAGCAGUUGGGUUCCACCCACACCCCGGCUGCAGUGACAGGAGUCUGGUGGCAGAAGUCCAGUGCCAGUGAGUGUUCUGUCAACACAACAGGCAGCUGAACGGGAACCAACUCCAGAUUAUCCCUGAGAUGGAAAGAUCUUCAAAUUAAGUAAUCUGUACAUGCACCAAUUCUAGAAAUACACAUUUUAAAAUAAAUUGAAAUAAUUUUGUCUUGUUAA